CCUACGGGAGGCAGCAGUGGGGAAUAUUGGACAAUGGGGGCAACCCUGAUCCAGCCAUGCCGCGUGUGUGAAGAAGGCCCUCGGGUUGUAAAGCACUUUCAGUGAGGAAGAACGCCUGGUGGUUAAUACCCAUCAGGAAAGACAUCACUCACAGAAGAAGCACCGGCUAACUCCGUGCCAGCAGCCGCGGUAAUACGGAGGGGGCGAGCGUUAAUCGGAAUUACUGGGCGUAAAGCGCGCGUAGGUGGCUUGAUAAGCCGGUUGUGAAAGCCCCGGGCUCAACCUGGGAACGGCAUCCGGAACUGUCAAGCUAGAGUGCAGGAGAGGAAGGUAGAAUUCCCGGUGUAGCGGUGAAAUGCGUAGAGAUCGGGAGGAAUACCAGUGGCGAAGGCGGCCUUCUGGACUGACACUGACACUGAGGUGCGAAAGCGUGGGUAGCAAACAGGAUUAGAUACCCGAGUAGUC
rnacentral:rRNA from 1 species